GAAGCUGGUCCAGUGUAGUUCAGUAGGACUUAGGAGCUGCAAUCCUAAAUGUACUGAGAUUUAUAAUAUUAUAACACAGGACUUUGGGAACACAGCACUGUUCUGCUGUCAAUAUGUACUUUGGACGGCUAAGAGAAACUCCCACUGGCAUCCUUUCAAAUGUUAUGUUUGGAACAAAUGCCACAGGCAAGUACAAAGUGCUCCUGAAGUGAAUGGGAGACUAUAAUUGUGCUUUGCAGACAGUUUUUGCAUAAGUGUGUCAACAUCUGUCAAUAGAUUUGAGGUGUGAUAGCUAGAUGGGACCUCUGUAAUAUCUAGAGCCAGAUGCACCUAGCAUAGUAGAUGCUGGAGACAACCAAGAAGGGAUGACCACCACCUUGCUGUCAUGCUUGUGAGCUUCCAGAGGCCACUGGCUGGUCACUGCUGAGCUUUAUUUAUCAGUCGCCCCACUAGGUACUGCACACGUCAGCUGGUUUCCUUUUAGCCACCUGGGUUCCACUUCAGUCUACUUCAUGAACGGGAGCUUCAUUACUGAUGGUGUGUCUUCUAGAAAAGAAGUGUAGACUGCCAAGGUCCCAAGCAGAACUGGAAAUACUACCGAGCAGCAUAAAGGCCCUCAAGACAGCCAAUACCAAUAAUACAAAAGAAGAAGAAGAAAGCAGUUGCUACAAUCUUCAACAGCACUCAAAUAUCAACCAAUGAGGCACAUGUGCUACAUGGCAGUGAUUUUGAGAAUCUGUACACUGAAUCUAAACAGGAAUCUACUCUGAGUCUGAGCCGUCAGAGGCAGAGCAGCAGCUGAAGUGAUGAAAGAAGGAAAUUCCCAGGUGGACCAAUCAAUAUUUUAAGAGAAGACCAUUUCCAGAAGGAAAACUACAUGGAAAUGGAGUACUGAGAAAAGGACGCGUGGAAAAAACCUCAAAGACUGAUUUCCGCUCUUUACCUCUAUAAAACCAUCAGACAUUUUCAGAUUCAUCAUCAAAUCAAGAGGCAAGCAUCUACACAUCAAAGCCUAAGGAACACACUUUAGCCACCCAGGGGUUCUUCAUUCUCCAGACUAUGCAAGUCUUUUUCAGCCUCUUUUUCUAUCUCCUGCUGGCACCUGUUUUGGGGAACAGGUUAUUCCAGUUUGGACCUUGCAGCAUUUCAAUGAAUAUUAAUGAAAUCCGGGAUGGCUUUGGUACAAUUAAAAAGGUCAUUCAAGCCAGAGAUCCUAUCAGAACAGCAAGCAUUUUGCACCCACAUUCUCUGCAUAACUUUCAAAUUUUAGACAGCUGUUGCCUUGCUCGUAGCAUCUUAAGAUUUUACCUGGACAAAGUCUUCAGGCACUGUGAGACAGGAAGUCUUUACAUCAAUCGGAAAAUCAGUGGCAUAGCCAACUCCUUCCUCAGCAUAGAGAAGAAAUUCAGAGUGUGUGAUGAAAAUAUGUGCAGCUGUGGGGAAGAGGCAACAAACAAAUAUCAGCAGAUCAUCACCAACUAUGAGCAGAUGGAUGUUACACUUGCUGCUACGAAAGCCCUUGGAGAACUGGAUAUCCUGCUUAAUUGGCUGGAGGCAUAUUAGAAUCAGAAUCAGUAUUCUGUGUUACAUAGUCAAUUCUAGAGAAUUAAGGAGAUAAAAGUGGGCACUUCACUAGUGAGCACUAGAUGGGAGGCUUUAAAAAACACCUGGGUGCCCAUUAGACUGCCACGUGGUUGAGCAGGCACACGUCAACAGGCCAAUUUCCCCCAAUGCUUUAAGGUGCAAAGCCCUCUUGUGCCUUAAAGAACUGCAUAGGGCACUGGGCUUGAAGGAUGCACACACGCAGCCCCUGUACUUGAACAGGAAGGAUUUGACUUUAGCAGCAGGACUAUGCAGCAGGUUCAGCUCUAUGGAGUUAGCUUUGGGCACAGCACCUCUGCUCCAGUCAGGUAACACCUCCUACAUUCUCUUUGCUCAUCUGCGAGUCAAUUGCACCACCUCCCGAAUCAUGCAAGACUUUCUACAAUUAAAUGAGCAGCAAAAACCAAAUCAAACCGCAUCUUGUUGUAAAGCAUAUGUGCUCUUGUCUUGGACAGCUCCCAUUUCUUUCCGCAAGACCUAGGCAGGAGUCGUACUGAGUAGAUUGCCAGUGCACCCAUCCAUUGUUAAAUGAGGAGGAGUCAGGCAAAACAUAUUGUUAAAAACAAAGCAUUUCAAGCUACAUUAUGGAUAGUUCUUCUCUUCCAGUGAGCUUACAUCGAAAACAGCAGCAAGAACCCAACCCUGAAUAGGUGAUUGCUGUCUACAUAUUUCCUCCGCAUGUUGAUCUCUAUCACAAUUAUUUAAAAACACUCUCAUGGAUAUCAACAAGUAUUAUGCUGGAAGCACAUUCAUUUCUGUUAAACUUUAACUAUUCCAAAAGCAGGUUUCAAAAUAUCUAUGGUCUGAUGACAAAAGUUAUGCAUAUGAAGACAAGGUUCCAGAACAGAACACUCCCAACACAAAAGCAACCAGCUCAUGUAGGGACCCCUGGCACCCAUUGUAAUGGCUUAUGCGUGGAAGAGGCUUUGAUUCAGAGAGCUGAAAAUGCAGUAACAUCUCUUCCUUGAGAUUUUGUGAAAUUCUUCCCCACACCCUUCCUUCUACUGGAGAAGAAUGCUACCCAGGAAUCACAUUUCUGCCGAUUUGCAAAGGAUAGUGGGGGGGGGGGAAUCAAGGCAAUUGUUUGGAUUUCAGGGCUGUUGCAAAAGUUCCGUUGUUCAAAACAUGUCUGCUCUUGAACACCUUUCACUCAUUUCAAGACGUUUGUAUAUAUGUUCUUGGAAGGCUGCAUGUGUUCAUGGUUAGACAUGUCCAGGCCACAACUCCCUAUCAUUUUGUUUUUAUUAAUUUGUGCAUUAUUGUCCCUUGCCAUCCUGGAACUAGUAUUUUCACAUGUUUGUUGUACAUAUACAUAUCUUUCACUGGGCAUUAGGACGUGGGAUUCUAAAACCCAAAAACAAAUACAGCCAUGAACCCCAAUUAAAAAGGUAAAGGUAAAGGGACCCCUGACCAUUAGGUCCAGUCGUGACCGACUCUGGGGUUGCGCGCUCAUCUCGCAUUAUUGGCCGAGGGAGCCGGCGUAUAGCUUCCAGGUCAUGUGGCCAGCAUGACAAAGCCGCUUCUGGCAAACCAGAGCAGCACAUGGAAAUGCCAUUUACCUUCCUGCUAUAGCGGUUCCUAUUUAUCUACUUGCAUUUUGAGGUGCUUUCGAAAUGCUAGGUUGGCAGGAGCUGGGACCAAGCAAUGGGAGCCCACCCCGUCACAGGGAUUCGAACCGCCGACCUUCUGAUCAGCAAGCCCUAGGCUCAGUGGUUUAACCACAGCGCCACCUGGGUCCCUUUCAUUGAACCCCAAUUACUUUGAUAUAAUAUGCAGGAAAGGAAAGGAAAUACAUAUUUGUUGGAUGGUGACAUAGCUCAGUUUAUGUUAAGUCAGAAACAGAAGAUUGGAGAAGUGUCUAUAGUGAAUGUGUGGAUAUGUGCAAAAUCAGCUCAAUUUUGUAAAUGAGAACAACUCUGGCAAAUAAAGGAGAAGAGGGACAAUUAUGCUAGAUGAGGGGGAAUUGAAAGAUACUUUUGUCCAAUAUGAAAUAACUUGGGAAGGCUGCAACCAGUUCAAUAACGUACCAACUUUUAUAUAAAGAAAUUUGGAAAUGCUAAUUGGGGCAUGUCACAUAUUGCAGAUGACAUAAACUAUCCAUUGUAUCUCCACAUGCAACACACUAAAAGAAAUCAUGUCCAUAGAAAAUGGAGCAAAUAGGUAAACUGAUUGUAGGAACCAAAUAUAAGCUAUUACUGGUAAAUCUUGAAACAUUAAUAUUUAGAUUAGACUAGUUCAUCAUGGAACAGGCUUUGAUCCAGCAGAUGCUCCCAGCAGAAGAAAAGAGGUGGUGAUGUUCCCUCUUCCUGCUCACCACCAUUUCCCACACUGUUUUGGAGAGUGCCCUAGUCCUCCAGAGCAGCUUUUCAGAUGGCACAGGGGCUGCACUAGGAAGCAGGAAGCAGUGAAAAUUGCCUGUAUAACUCUUCCUUCCUGCAGGAGUGUCCUAUGUGCAGAGUUCUGCUCAUGGGAAUUCUGGAUCCCAAGCUUAUAAAUUUAAGGCUGCUAUCACUAAGCGGUGCAUACCUCAUAGUAAAUAUGCCAAGGUUUGAAUGUGAGGGAUGUAGCCCUAUCACCAAGAGCCUAGAGUAAGUUCCGCUGAAGUAAGGCAGAGUUGCUUUUGAGUAAACAUGCAUAGGAAUGUGCUGUAAAUAUAUUAAAGACUGUGAGUUUUCAUAUACUACAAAGCUGAGACAAGGAAGUCUUUUAAUAAGAUCAACUUCAGUUGGGACAAAAACUAAACAUCUGAUGGACCAAUACCACCUGUUAAUUAUACAGUACUUAUACAGCACAAUUUUCUGCAUAUAAUUUAUAUACUGUAUAUUGUUUCACUACUGCCUUUCAUGAAAGCAAGGUGAUGUACAAGGUCUACUUUGAAGUGCAGCUGGGCUCAGUAGGGCUUUCUCCCUAGUAAAUGUGUUUAGGAUUACAGCCAUAAUUACACAAUGCAUUUGAUUUAAAUGCAAUUAAAUGCUAUACACUACUGUACUUGUCUUGAAAUAAUACCUUCUGUAUUUCUCUUUGUAUUGCUAAAUGGAUGGUUGUGUGUGAGAAACACAUUUUUUGUGUAAUCUACUCAAACAAUAUAUUUCCAAAAUGUUUCACAUUCAGAAAACAUUUAGUAUUGACCUGAGCUCCCCUGAAUUCUCUUGUUGUGGCAGGAGAUACAGCAAUAAAUUUGCAUCUAGCACUAAUGCUUUGAUGAGAUUUACUUUUUUUUGUUUUGCAACUUAAUACUAUACAUUUUACACAAAUUACUCUGUUGCAUCUUACGGGGGUCUAUGUGAUAUUUGUAUAAUGAAGUAUACAAAGAGGGGGAAUCUUUUGCACUGCAACACAGUUCUCCAAAGGUUUCCUUCAUCAGGUUAUGUCAGUUUGGGGCUCUGAGACAACACAGCUUUCUUAGAACUGGGAAAGACAACUUCUCAGGAUAACAAGCACUGGCAAAGACAGCUUUUGUCAGUGAUUGAAAGGAGCAGCUUUUACAACCAACCCUACGCUUCAAAGAAUAUGAUCAUACUAAACACCACAUAGCCACACACAAAAUGUAUUCAAUCACUUCAGAACUCCUCACAACAUGUUACACCUCUGUCCUACAGAUGAGGUUAAAUAUGUGUAUAAGAAAUAAAAUGAGGGAAUGAAGCUUUCACCCUAGCAGCCCCCUGCCUCACAGCCUUACAGAAUCAGAGACAAAAUGUAUAAAGAUGAAACCAGCCUCUCCCUCAGUUUUCCGCAUCAAAACCUAUCGCAAAACAACAACACAAUGCUUUUUUUUAACUUAGAAGUAAACCCUACUUUGUUCAAUGGGGCUUACUCCUGGGUAAGUGGGUAUCAGUAUGAGUUUCAAGUCCUUUAAAAGAUUGGACACCAUAAUAUCCCCCACAAGAAGCCCACCCAAAACUCCUUAUAAUGCAAGUUGCUUUUAUACUGAGGUGAAGCUACCUUGCUGAUCCUUUUGGCUGGAAAGGCAGGAGGAUAUAAACAUGCUCAAUAAACAAAUAUUUAUUAAUAAAUAAUGUCAACACCAACACUACAACAUAUCAUGAAAUACUACAAACUGCAAGUGCAAUAGCCAUGAACAUUGGCUGACAAUUAUUUAGUACUGUACUGGAUCAUUUAUGGGGUUAGCAGUGGAAUGUUCUGCUUGUAGAAAUGCCAAUUUUUAUCCAUUCCUUCUCCCCCUUGCUGUCCCAAACAUAAACCCUGGAGAGUUGAGGGACUCUCUGGGACAUUUUUUAGUUAGUGAUUUAGCUGCGCUAGAUCAAAUGAACUUUGUACAUAUUUGGGUCCAACACAUAAAUAAUGUUAAGAACACAUAAAUAAUGUUAAGAAGAAUAAACAUCUGUUUGUACCCAAUGGAGCACCAAGUAGCCUCCCCAUCAGUGCGAGGAUUUAUGAUUGCACAAUGGGACUCCCCCCUCUUUCCCUUACAAGUGCCCCAAGGCCUCCCCAAAUUUGCUCUGAAGGGUUGAAGGAAAACCCAGAACAGAUUUAGGGAUGCAUGAGAGGAGGAGAUGAGGGAAGUUGCAUUGCACAUGAGAUGUUUACAUAGCAAUACAAGUUAUUGCCAGGUGUCAAAUACAGAUAUCCAAUAUCAGAUAUUGGAGCAUUUGGCAGAUAUCAAUGCUAGUGGAUGAAGCUUUUGAGGGUUCACAAAAUUAAAUUCAUUUCAUCUCCUCUGUGUGGCCCAUUCUUGUGUCCAGCCUUUUCCCUAGUCUGUCUUAUCGAUCCAAUCCAGUAGGAUGUCCAGCUCCCCAAGGGCUUUAACUGCUGCAGAGUGUGAGUCCAUCUGAAAAGGAACAGGAAAAGAUAAACCUUUCAAACAACCAGUGUGAAUACUGGAUAACAAAUGACAUAUCUUUGGUGUCUCCUGCAUUACUUCUGUAGCUGCUUGUACAGCAAGGUGUAACAGAAAAAGUAUGGGUAGGUACCUUAACAGGGUAAACAGCAGCUUCUGCAGGCUUAUGGGAAAUUUAUAUCAGUGCAAGGGGGAAAUUUUACAUUCUCAAUCCAAAGUGCCCUCCUUCCCUGCCCACUUGCUUUUAUUUUCUUUAAGAGACAGGAGAUCCAGUUAUGGAUCUCUUCAUCUGGUUCUGCCAUGGUUCAGCUUAGCAUGAGCCAACAGUGUGAUGCACCUGCAAAAAAACCCAACUAAUGCUAUUCUAGGCUGCAUCAACAGAAGUAUAGUGUCCACAGGGUCGGUGCUAGGGUUUUUUGUGCCCUAGGCGAGAUCACCUUCUGCCCCCCCCCCAAUUAAUAAAAAAUAAAAUAGAAAAAAUAGAAAAUAGAAAAAAUAGAAGAAAAAUAGAAAAUAGAAAAAAUAAAAAUAAAAAAUAGGAAAAAAUAAAAAAGUAGAAAAAACAAAAACAAAAAUAAAAUAAAAAACUGUUGAUCCGGCUAAAAUCAAUAUACGAACGAUCACAAUAUUUCAGUGGUGUUUUUAAGUGAGCUUAAAAACUGCCCAAGCGAGGAAGCCAUGGAGAGGCGAAGGCGGGAUGCUCCCUCGCAGCCACCGCCGCUCAGCACCACCACCGCCUCAUCCUCCUCCCCGAGCUUGGCUG